GGAUGUGAGGGUGAUCUGGCUGUGACAUCUGCCCACCCGACUGAUCGCCAGGAUUGAAAUGGCUUGACAGCUGGCUAGGCACGGGCCACUUCCUCGCUCACUCCUCUAUGUGUGUCCCUCCUCAAGCUCUCUCGAAGAGGACGAUCAUCCAGAUAGAGGAGGACCCUUUGCUCCAUCAAGGGUAUAUGAGUAGCUGUGAUUCCCUGCUAGAAUCUCCAAACAAGCUCUGAGGAAUGCAGCAUAUAAGAUUCUUCCUAGUUUUAAUUAAAGAUGGUAGGAAACCAGAGGGGGAAAGAAAACCUUUUGCAGAAAAAAAAUUGAGGGAGCUAAAAGGGAGCUUCCCUGAGAU
ensembl:misc_RNA 7SK 7SK RNA